rnacentral:rRNA from 1 species
UGGGGAAUCUUGGACAAUGGGGGCAACCCUGAUCCAGCCAUGCCGCGUGAGUGAUGAAGGCCUUAGGGUCGUAAAGCUCUUUCGCCUGUGAAGAUAAUGACGGUAGCAGGUAAAGAAACCCCGGCUAACUCCGUGCCAGCAGCCGCGGUAAUACGGAGGGGGUUAGCGUUGUUCGGAAUUACUGGGCGUAAAGCGCACGUAGGCGGACCAGAAAGUUGGGGGUGAAAUCCCGGGGGCUCAACCCCGGAACUGCCUCCAAAACUAUUGGUCUAGAGUUCGAGAGAGGUGAGUGGAAUUCCAAGUGUAGAGGUGAAAUUCGUAGAUAUUUGGAGGAACACCAGUGGCGAAGGCGGCUCACUGGCUCGAUACUGACGCUGAGGUGCGAAAGUGUGGGGAGCAAACAGGAUUAGAUACCCUGGUAGUCCACACCGUAAAACGAUGAGCACUCGGUGCCGCGGGUAUCGA